AAUCUCAACCAUUAGGGUUUCUUAAUGGCUUGGAUUUGGAGGUUGCCAUUCUAAAUGGCUCCUCUUAAAGGAGUUAGCAAGUUUUACUAUUGCUAUCUGGCGUAAUAAGUUUCGCUGGAAUGGUAUUGUGAAGCGUGCUUCUAAUCGUCUUCGGACAAUUACUUUGA
rnacentral:misc_RNA from 1 species